GACGAACGCUGGCGGCGUGCUUAACACAUGCAAGUCGAACGGAAAGGCCCUGCUUUUGUGGGGUGCUCGAGUGGCGAACGGGUGAGUAACACGUGAGUAACCUGCCCUUGACUUUGGGAUAACUUCAGGAAACUGGGGCUAAUACCGGAUAGGAGCUCCUGCUGCAUGGUGGGGGUUGGAAAGUUUCGGCGGUUGGGGAUGGACUCGCGGCUUAUCAGCUUGUUGGUGGGGUAGUGGCUUACCAAGGCUUUGACGGGUAGCCGGCCUGAGAGGGGGACCGGCCAAAUUGGGACUGAGAUACGGCCCAGACCCCUACGGGAGGCAGAAGUGGGGAAUAUUGCACAAUGGGCGGAAGCCUGAUGCAGCAACGCCGCGUGCGGGAUGACGGCCUUCGGGUUGUAAACCGCUUUCGCCUGUGACGAAGCGUGAGUGACGGUAAUGGGUAAAGAAGCACCGGCUAACUACGUG
rnacentral:rRNA from 1 species